UACGUAGGGUACAAGCGUUGUCCGGAAUUAUUGGGCGUAAAGAGCUCGUAGGCGGUUUGUCGCGUCGAAUGUGAAAACCCGGGGCUCAACCCCGGGCCUGCAUUCGAUACGGGCAGACUAGAGUUCGGUAGGGGAGUCUGGAAUUCCUGGUGUAGCGGUGAAAUGCGCAGAUAUCAGGAGGAACACCGGUGGCGAAGGCGGGACUCUGGGCCGAUACUGACGCUGAGGAGCGAAAGCGUGGGGAGCGAACAGG
rnacentral:rRNA from 1 species